rnacentral:misc_RNA from 1 species
GAGCGUUGAGCGGUUAAUCGAGAAGUAAGAGUGAGUCGAGAGGUCAGAGUUAAUCGAGGAGUCGAAAAGUAGAAUGGUUAGCGUUGUUGAGUUGCGAGGGGUGUUAGCGUUGUUGAGAGUAGAGUUGUUAGCGUUGUGGAAUUGCGUGAGUUACUAGCGUAGCUGAGAGGUUGAGUUGUUGGCGUUGUCCAGUUGCGAGAGUGAUCGAAUUAGAAAGAAAUGGAAGAGCAGUGGAGACAGGAGGAGUGCAGUACGAUAACGAAAGAUGUCACCAGGACGAAAACUGGAAGCUAGCAAAGAAUAACAAAGAAGGUAAAAUAACUCCAGACACAAGUGCCGCAGGAAACCUAGAUACAGAAAAGCAGAGAUGGCUGCAAGAAUUACCAUUAAGAACCUUCUUCAGCUCACUAACGGAAGAAAUAGACGCUAACCCGACAAGUAAAACCACAACUCAUUCAACUCACAUUACAAAACCACCACCAAAAUUUGUUGAGGCCCAAAUAAUAGACCCGCUUAUUAAUUAUUAAACAAUAUAGUCGGGAAGGACAAUUACACAAUAAAACAAACAAAAUUAGAACAAGUAAAGAUUCAAACAAACACCCCAGAAAUUUAUAGGAAAGUGUUAAUAUAACGGAUAAUGAUACAACAUUGAAAGCACAAUAUGAACCAAACGCUAUAAACAGAAACACUGAUCCCCAAGAUAACCGAAGUUAUGCACAAAUAACCCAAAGCAUUAGCCAAGCAAAUCGCCUCCUCAAAUGUAUACAAGGGAUAUCUACUCUACAAUAAUUUGCAUGGAUUUCACUCAUGUUUUCUUUUUCUGGAUACCUUACUGGAGUUCUCUU